ensembl:lncRNA
AUGCCGUUCCAGUUUGCAAUUUAUUACUUAUAUGAUAAGUCAUUAAAAGUGGAGAGUACAUCGAUCCUUGUAGCUAAUAUAGACCAGCAUAGUCAAGUUACGUCAAAACCAGACCUUGAUGGAGACGACAAUUGGCUAGAAAUAAAGUGGCCUUCACGUAAAGAACCAGAGAAGACGGUGCCUGCAAAAGUCCUGCUGUUUGGAGAUUCGUUCAAAGACCUCGUCAUGAAGAAAAACUUACUACUUUUGGGAAAGGACAUAUGGAAAAAGGAUGAAAGCAGGGGUGUUCGUGUCAAAAAGAAAAUAUUGGACACCAGCAACGAGGUGGAGGCUAAAAAAGCCAGGCUGGAAAAGCUAGUAAACACUAAGAAGGCUGCCAGACCCCUGGCAUUCACUUCCGAUCAUCAUAUCAGUUCUGAAGAUGCUACAAACAUAGCGAGCCCACUCCGUCCAGAUCAUCACACCAGUUCUGAUGAUGCUACAACCAUAGGGAGUCCUGAAAUGGCCAAUGACUCAGAUGAAGACUUUGGUCUAACCUCAACCCAGAGAAAGGCAAGCUGA